UUUUACUCCUAUCGGAGGCAGCAGUGGGGAAUAUUGCACAAUGGGCGAAAGCCUGAUGCAGCGACGCCGCGUGAGGGAUGACGGCCUUCGGGUUGUAAACCUCUUUCAGUAGGGAAGAAGCCCUCUUUGGGGGUGACGGUACUUGCAGAAGAAGCGCCGGCUAACUACGUGCCAGCAGCCGCGGUAAUACGUAGGGCGCAAGCGUUAUCCGGAAUUAUUGGGCGUAAAGAGCUCGUAGGCGGUUUGUCGCGUCUGCUGUGAAAGACCGGGGCUCAACUCCGGUUCUGCAGUGGGUACGGGCAGACUAGAGUGCAGUAGGGGAGACUGGAAUUCCUGGUGUAGCGGUGAAAUGCGCAGAUAUCAGGAGGAACACCGAUGGCGAAGGCAGGUCUCUGGGCUGUAACUGACGCUGAGGAGCGAAAGCAUGGGGAGCGAACAGGAUUAGAUACCCUGGUAGUCCAUGCCGUAAACGUUGGGCACUAGGUGUGGGGGACAUUCCACGUUUUCCGCGCCGUAGCUAACGCAUUAAGUGCCCCGCCUGGGGAGUACGGCCGCAAGGCUAAAACUCAAAGGAAUUGACGGGGGCCCGCACAAGCGGCGGAGCAUGCGGAUUAAUUCGAUGCAACGCGAAGAACCUUACCAAGGCUUGACAUGGACCGGAAAGACCUGAAACCAGGUGUCCCCGU
rnacentral:rRNA from 1 species